rnacentral:rRNA from 1 species
GUACCGUGAGGGAAAGGUGAAAAGUACCCCGAUAAGGGGAGUGAAAUAGUACCUGAAACCGUGUGCUUACAAGCGGAGGGAGCCUUCGGGUGACCUCGUGCCUUUUGCAUAAUGAGCCUACGAGUUACUCCUCUCUAGCGAGGUUAAGGAUUUAAGGUCCGUAGCCGGAGCGAAAGCGAGUCUGAAUAGGGCGUUUUAGUUAGAGGGGGUAGACGCGAAACCCUGUGAUCUACCCAUGACCAGGUUGAAGUGACGGUAACACGUCAUGGAGGACCGAACCAGUUGACGUUGAAAAGUCUUUGGAUGAGUUGUGGGUAGGGGUGAAAGGCCAAUCAAACUCGGAUAUAGCUGGUUCUCCGCGAAAACUAUUUAGGUAGUGCGUCGUGUGAUUACCGCCGGGGGUAGAGCACUGGAUGGGCUAGGGGGACUCACCGUCUUACCAAACCUAACCAAACUCCGAAUACCGAGGAGUACUGCGCGGCAGACACACUGCGGGUGCUAAGGUCCGUAGUGAAAAGGGAAACAGCCCUGACCGCCAGUUAAGGUCCCUAAGUAAUGGCUAAGUGGGAAAGGAUGUGGGAGUGCAGUGACAAUCAGGAGGUUGGCUUAGAAGCAGCCACCCUUUAAAGAAAGCGUAAUAGCUCACUAGUCGAGUCGGCCUGCGCGGAAGAUGUAACGGGGCUAAGCAAUAUACCGAAGCUGCGGAUACGUGUUUACACGUAUGGUAGGGGAGCGUUGUGUAAGUGGAUGAAGGUGAAUCGAGAGGUUUGCUGGACAUAUCACAAGUGCGAAUGCUGACAUGAGUAACGAUAAUGCGGGUGAAAAACCCGCACACCGAAAACCCAAGGUUUCCUACGCAACGCUAAUCGGCGUAGGGUUAGUCGGCCACUAAGGCGAGGCAGAAAUGCGUAGUCGAUGGGAACCAGGUCAAUAUUCCUGGGCCGGGAGGUGGUGACGAAUUCCGUAUAUGGUUAGUCCUUAUUGGAUUGGACUAGCUGAGAAGGAGUUCCAGGAAAUAGCCCCUCCAUAACGACCGUACCCUAAACCGACACAGGUGGACAGGUAGAGUAUACCAAGGCGCUUGAGAGAACUAUGCUGAAGGAACUCGGCAAAAUGCUCCCGUAAGUUCGCGAGAAGGGAGACCUCAAUUUGGGCAACCAGAUUGGGGUGGCACAGACCAGGGGGUGGCGACUGUUUAUUAAAAACACAGGGCUCUGCGAAGUCGCAAGACGACGUAUAGGGUCUGACGCCUGCCCGGUGCCGGAAGGUUAAAAGGAGUGGUGCAA